GCCCGCGUCGUCCCGGAGGCGGGACACCGGUCCGUAAAACCGGCGCGCUGCGCGCAGGACAGGUUCGACUCCUGUCGCGGGCA
rnacentral:tRNA from 1 species